rnacentral:rRNA from 1 species
AGUUUGAUCCUGGCUCAGAACGAACGCUGGCGGCAGGCCUAACACAUGCAAGUCGGACGAGAAGGUUCCUUCGGGAACUGGAGAGUGGCGCACGGGUGAGUAACGCGUGGGGACCUACCUCUUAGUGGGGGAUAACGGUUGGAAACGACCGCUAAUACCGCAUACGCCCUUCGGGGGAAAGAUUUAUCGCUAAGAGAUGGACCCGCGUUGGAUUAGAUAGUUGGUGAGGUAACGGCUCACCAAGUCAGCGAUCCAUAGCUGGUUUGAGAGGAUGAUCAGCCACACUGGGACUGAGACACGGCCCAGACUCCUACGGGAGGCAGCAGUGGGGAAUAUUGGACAAUGGGGGCAACCCUGAUCCAGCCAUGCCGCGUGAGUGAAGAAGGCCUUCGGGUUGUAAAGCUCUUUCAGAUGCGAAGAUGAUGACGGUAACAUCAGAAGAAGCCCCGGCUAAUUUCGUGCCAGCAGCCGCGGUAAUACGAAAGGGGCUAGCGUUGUUCGGAUUUACUGGGCGUAAAGGGCACGCAGGCGGUCUUGCCAGUCAGGGGUGAAAGCCCGGGGCUCAACCCCGGAACUGCCUCUGAUACUG